GCGGAUGAGGAUGGCCCCGGUUGAGGUAGUCAACAAGGGUGGCGGUGGUCAACAAAUUGUACCUUGUCCACCCCUACUAGUGGCUCCCACCUACCACCAAAUCCCCAUUUUCCAUCAUGGAAAUGAGGAAGAACAUGAGGUGAACUGGUUGAGAUGAAAAGGGGACUGGGAAGAGCGUGAGCAAGAGGAAGAGAUACACUCAAGUUUUUUAGAACACCCUCAAGCUUUAUUGCAUAAUGUCACUAGGGAUACAAGCUAUAAGGGGGGUGACAUAAGCCACAAUUUCUACCCACACCUACAAGCUUUAUUGCAUUAUGUUUCUUGGAAAUUCAUGUUGCAUGUAUAGCAAAAAGAACAUCAUAGAAGUAUAACAUCUCAUCUUUUCUAUAAUCAUGUUACAUAUAGAUGAGCUACCUACUGAAGGAAAUAUGCCCUAGAGGCAAUAAUAAAGUUAUUAUUUAUUUCCUUAUAUCAUGAUAAAUGCUUAUUAUUCAUGCUAGAAUUGUAUUAACCGGAAACAUAAUACAUGUGUGAAUACAUAGACAAACAGAGUGUCACUAGUAUGCCUCUACUUGACUAGCUCGUUAACCAAAGAUGGUUAUGUUUCCUAACCAUGGACAAAGAGUUGUUAUUUGAUUAACGGGAUUACAUCAUUAGGUGAAUGAUCUGAUUGACAUGACCCAUUCCAUUAGCUUAGCACCCGAUUGUUUAGUAUGUUGCUAUUGCUUUCUUCAUAACUUAUACAUGUUCCUAUGACUAUGAGAUUAUGCAACUCCCGUUUGCCGGAGGAACACUUUAUGUGCUACCAAACAUCACAACGUAACUGGGUGAUUAUAAAGGUGCUCUACAGGUGUCUCCAAAGGUACAUGUUGGGUUGGCGUAUUUCGAGAUUAGGAUUUGUCACUCCGAUUGUCGGAGAGGUAUCUCUGGGCCCUCUCGGUAAUGCACAUCACAUAAGCGUUGCAAGCAUUGCAACUAAUGAGUUAGUUGUGAGAUGAUGUAUUACGGAACGAGUAAAGAGACUUGCCGGUAACGAGAUUGAACUAGGUAUUGAGAUACCGACGAUCGAAUCUCGGGCAAGUAACAUACCAAUGACAAAGGGAACAACGUAUGUUGUUAUGCGGUCUGACCGAUAAAGAUCUUCGUAGAAUAUGUAGGAACCAAUAUGAGCAUCCAGGUUCCGCUAUUGGUUAUUGACCGGAGACGUGUCUCGGUCAUGUCUACAUUGUUCUCGAACCGUAGGGUCCGCACGCUUAACGUUACGAUUACAGUUUCAUUAUGAGUUUAUGUAUUUUGAUGUACCGAAGGUUGUUUGGAGUCCCGAAUGUGAUCAUGGACAUGACGAGGAGUCUCGAAAUGGUCGAGACAUAAAGAUCGAUAUAUUGGAAGCCUAUAUUUGGAUAUCGGAAUCGUUCCAGGUGAAAUCGGGAUUUUACCAGAGUACCGGGGGGUUACCGGAACCCCCCGGGGGUUAUUGGGCCUACAUGGGCCCUAAGGGAGAAGAGGAAAGGAGGCAAGAGGUGGCCGCGUGCCCCUCCCCUCCCUAGUCCGAAUAGGACAAGGAGAGGGGGGCGGCGCCCCCCCCUUUCCUUUCCCUCUUCCUCCUCUUUCCACUUCUCCUUCUCCAACUAGGAAAGAAGGGAGUCCUACUCCCGGUGGGAGUAGGACUCCCCCUUGGCGCGCCCUCCUUGGCCGGCCGCCCCCUCCCCUUGGCUCCUUUAUAUACGGGGGCAAGGGGGCACCCUAGAACACACAAGUUGAUCUUCGUGAUCGUUCCUUAGCCGUGUGCGGCGCCCCCCUCCACCAUAUUCCACCUCGGUCAUAUUGUAGCGGUGCUUAGGCGAAGCCCUGCGACAAAUGAACAUCAAGAUCGUCACCACGCCGUCGUGCUGACGGAACUCCUCCCCGAAGCUUUGAUGGAUCGGAGCCCGGGGAGCGUCAUCGAGCUGAACGUGUGCCAAGAACUCGGAGGUGCCAGAGUAACGGUGCUUGGAUCGAUUGGACCGGGAAGACGUACGACUACUUCCUCUAUGUUGCGUCAACGCUUCCGCUUCGGUCUAUGAGGGUACGUAGACAACACUCUCCCCUCUCGUUGCUAUGCAUCACCAUGAUCUUGCGUGUGCGUAGGAAAUUUUUUGAAAUUACUACGUUCCCCAACAGUGGCAUCAGAGCCUAGGUUUUAUGGUUUGAUGUUAUAUGCACGAGUAGAACACAAGUGAGUUGUGGGCGAUAUAAGUCAUACUGCUUACCAGCAUGUCAUACUUUGGUUCGGCGGUAUUGUUGGAUGAAGCGGCCUGGACCGACAUUACGCGUACGCUUACGCGAGACUGGUUCUACCGCCGUGCUUUGCACACAGGUGGCUGGCGGGUGUCAGUUUCUCCAACUUUAGUUGAACCGAGUGUGGCUACGCCCGGUCCUUGCGAAGGUUAAAACAACACCAACUUGACAAACUAUCGUUGUGGUUUUGAUGCGUAGGUAAGAUUGGUUCUUGCUUAAGCCCGUGGCAGCCACGUAAAACUUGCAACAAACAAAGUAGAGGACGUCUAACUUGUUUUUGCAGGGCAUGUUGUGAUGUGAUAUGGUCAAGGCAUGAUGCUAAAUUUUAUUGUAUGAUAUGAUCAUGUUUUGUAACUAAGUUAUCGACAACUGGCAGGAGCCAUAUGGUUGUCGCUUUAUUGUAUGCAAUGCAAUCGCCCUGUAAUGCUUUACUUUAUCACUAAGUGAUAGCGAUAGUCGUAGAAGCACAAUAUUGGCGAGAUGACAACGAUGCUACGAUGGAGAUCAAGGUGUCGCGUCGGUGACGAUGGUGAUCAUGACGGUGCUUCGGAGAUGGAGAUCACAAGCACAAGAUGAUGAUGGCCAUAUCAUAUCACUUAUAUUGAUUGCAUGCGAUGUUUAUCUUUUAUGCAUCUUAUCUUGCUUUGAUUGACGGUAGCAUUAUAAGAUGAUCUCUCACUAAAUUUCAAGAUAAAAAGUGUUCUCCCUGAGUAUGCACCGUUGCCAAAGUUCGUCGUGCCCAGACGCCACGUGAUGAUCGGGUGUGAUAAGCUCUACGUCCAUCUACAACGGGUGCAAGCCAGUUUUGCACACGCAGAAUACUCAGGUUAAACUUGACGAGCCUAGCAUAUACAGAUAUGGCCUCGAAACACUGAGAUCGAAAGGUCGAGCGUGAAUCAUAUAGUAGAUAUCAUCAACAUAGCAAUGUUCACCAUUGAAAACUACAUUUCACGUGAUGAUCGGUUAUGGUUUAGUUGAUUUGGAUCACGUGAUCACUUAGAUGAUUAGAGGGAUGUCUAUCUAAGUGGGAGUUCUUAAGUAAUAUGAUUAAUUGAACUUAAAUUUAUCAUGAACUUAGUCCCUGAUAGUAUCUUGCUUGUUUAUGUUGAUUGUAGAUAGAUGGCCCGUGUCGUUGUUCCGUUGAAUUUUAAUGUGUUCCUUGAGAAAGCAAAGUUGAAAGAUGAUGGUAGCAAUUACACGGACUGGGUCCGUAACUUGAGGAUUAUCCUCAUUGCUGCACAGAAGAGUUACGUCCUGGAAGCACCGCUGGGUGCGAGGCCUGCUGCUGAUGCAACUGACGACGUUAAGAACGUUUGGCAGAGCAAAGCUGAUGACUACUCGAUAGUUCAAUGUGCCAUGCUUUACGGCUUAGAACCGGGACUUCAACGAUGUUUUGAACGUCAUGGGGCAUAUGAGAUGUUCUAGGAGUGGAAGUUAAUAUUCCAGCAGAAUGCCUGGAUUGAGAGAUAUGAAGUCUCCAAUAAAUUCUAUAGCUGCAAGAUGGAGGAGAAUAGUUCUGUCAGUGAGCAUAUACUCAAGAUGUCCGGGUAUUGUAAUCACUUGAUUCAACUGGGAGUUAAUCUUCCGGAUGAUAGCGUCAUUGACAGAAUUCUCCAAUCACUUCCACCAAGCUACAAGAGCUUCGUGAUGAACUAUAAUAUGCAAGGGAUGGAUAAGACAAUUCCCGAGCUCUUCGCAAUGCUAAAGGCCGUGGAGGUAGAAAUCAAGAAGGAGCAUCAAGUGUUGAUGGUCAACAAGACCACUAGUUUCAAGAAAAAGGGCAAAGGGAAGAAGAAGGGGAACUUCAAGAAGAACAACAAGCAAGUUGCUGCUCAGGAGAAGAAACCCAAGUCUGGAUCUAAGCCUGAAACUGAGUGCUUCUACUGCAAGCAGACUGGUCACUGGAAGCGGAACUGCCCCAAGUAUUUGGCGGAUAAGAAGGAUGGCAAGGUGAACAAAGGUAUAUGUGAUAUACAUGUUAUUGGUGUGUACCUUACUAGAGCUCGCAGUAGCACCUGGGUAUUUGAUACUGGUUCUGUUGCUAAUAUUUGCAACUCAAAACAGGGACUACGGAUUAAGCGAACACUGGCAAAGGACGAGGUGACGAUGCGCGUGGGAAAUGGUUCCAAAGUCGAUGUGAUCGCGGUCGGCACGCUACCUCUACAUCUACCUUCGGGAUUAGUAUUAGACCUAAAUAAUUAUUAUUUGGUGCCAGCGUUGAGCAUGAACAUUAUAUCUGGAUCUUGUUUGAUGCGAGACAGUUAUUCAUUUAAAUCAGAGAAUAAUGGUUGUUCUAUUUAUAUGAGUAAUAUCUUUUAUGGUCAUGCACCCUUGAAGAGUGGUCUAUUUUUGAUGAAUCUCGAUAGUAGUGAUACACAUAUUCAUAAUGUUGAAGCCAAAAGAUGCAGAGUUAAUAAUGAUAGUGCAACUUAUUUGUGGCACUGCCGUUUAGGUCAUAUUGGUGUAAAGCGCAUGAAGAAACUCCAUACUGAUGGACUUUUGGAACCACUUGAUUAUGAAUCACUUGGUACUUGCGAACCGUACCUCAUGGGCAAGAUGACUAAAACGCCGUUCUCCGUACUAUGGAGAGAGCAACAGAUUUGUUGGAAAUCAUACAUACAGAUGUAUGUGGUCCGAUGAAUGUUGAGGCUCGUGGCGGAUAUCGUUAUUUUCUCACCUUCACAGAUGAUUUAAGCAGAUAUGGGUAUAUCUACUUAAUGAAGCAUAAGUCUGAAACAUUUGAAAAGUUCAAAGAAUUUCAGAGUGAAGUUGAAAAUCAUCGUAACAAGAAAAUAAAGUUUCUACGAUCUGAUCGUGGAGGAGAAUAUUUGAGUUACGAGUUUGGUCUACAUUUGAAACAAUGCGGAAUAGUUUCGCAGCUCACGCCACCCGGAACACCACAACGUAAUGGUGUGUCCGAAUGUCGUAAUCGUACUUUACUUGAUAUGGUGCGAUCUAUGAUGUCUCUUACAGAUUUACCGCUAUCGUUUUGGGGUUAUGCUUUAGAGACGGCCGCAUUCACGUUAAAUAGGGCACCAUCAAAAUCCGUUGAGAUGACGCCUUAUGAACUAUGGUUUGGCAAGAAACCAAAGUUGUCGUUUCUUAAAGUUUGGGGCUGUGAUGCUUAUGUGAAAAAGCUUCAACCUGAUAAGCUCGAACCCAAAUCGGAGAAAUGUGUCUUCAUAGGAUACCCAAAGGAGACUGUUGGGUACACCUUCUAUCACAGAUCUGAAGGCAAGACAUUCAUUGCUAAAAAUGGAUCCUUUCUAGAGAAGGAGUUUCUCUCGAAAGAAGUGAGUGGGAGGAAAGUAGAACUUGAUGAGGUAACUGUACCUGCUCCCUUAUUGGAAAGUAGUACAACACAGAAACCGGUUUCUGUGACACCUAAACCAGUUAGUGAGGAAGUUAAUGAUGAUGAUCAUAGAACUUCAGAUCAAGUUGCUACUGAACCUCAUAGAUCAAACAGAGUAAGAUCCGCACCAGAGUGGUACGGUAAUCCUGUUCUAGAAGUCAUGCUACUAGAUCAUGAUGAACCUACGAACUAUGAAGAAGCGAUGGUGAGCCCAGAUUCCGCGAAAUGGCUUGAAGCCAUGAAAUCUGAGAUGGGAUCCAUGUAUGAGAACAAAGUGUGGACUUUCGUUGACUUGCCCGAUGAUUGGCAAGCAAUUGAGAAUAAAUGGAUCUUCAAGAAGAAGACUGACGCUGAUGGUAAUGUUACCGUCUACAAAGCUCAACUUGUUGCAAAAGGUUUUCGACAAGUUCAAGGGAUUGACUACGAUGAGACCUUCUACCCCGUAGCGAUGCUUAAGUCUGUCCGAAUCAUGUUAGCAAUUGCCGCAUUUUAUGAUUAUGAAAUUUGGCAAAUGGAUGUCAAAACUGCAUUCCUGAAUGGAUUUCUAGAAGAAGAGUUGUAUAUGAUGCAACCAGAAGGUUUUGUCGAUCCAAAGGGAGCUAACAAAGUGUGCAAGCUCCAGCGAUCCAUUUAUGGACUGGUGCAAGCCUCUCGGAGUUGGAAUAAACACUUUGAUAGUGUGAUCAAAGCAUUUGGUUUUAUACAGAUUUUUGGAGAAGCCUGUAUUUACAAGAAAGUGAGUGGGAGCUCUGUAGCAUUUCUGAUAUUAUAUGUGGAUGACAUAUUACUAAUUGGAAAUGAUAUAGAAUUUCUGGAUAGCAUAAAGGGAUACUUGAAUAAGAGUUUUUCAAUGAAAGGCCUCGGUGAAGCUGCUUACAUAUUAGGCAUUAAGAUCUAUAGAGAUAGAUCAAGACGCUUAAUUGGACUUUCACAAAGCACAUACCUUGACAAAGUUUUGAAGAAGUUCAAAAUGGAUCAAGCAAAGAAAGGGUUCUUGCCUGUGUUACAAGGUGUGAAGUUGAGUAAAACUCAAUGCCCGACCACUGCAGAAGAUAGAGAGAAAAUGAAAGAUGUUCCCUAUGCUUCAGCCAUAGGCUCUAUCAUGUAUGCAAUGUUGUGUACCAGACCUGAUGUGUGCCUUGCUAUAAGUCUAGCAGGGAGGUACCAAAGUAAUCCAGGAGUGGAUCACCGGACAGCGGUCAAGAACAUCCUGAAAUACCUGAAAAGGACUAAGGAUAUGUUUCUCGUUUAUGGAGGUGAUAAAGAGCUCAUCGUAAAUGGUUACGUUGAUGCAAGCUUUGACACUGAUCCGGACGAUUCUAAAUCGCAAAUCGGAUACGUGUUUACAUUAAACGGUGGAGCUGUCAGUUGGUGCAGUUCUAAACAAAGCGUCAUGGCGGAAUCUACGUGUGAAGCGAAAUACAUAGCUGCUUCGGAAGCAGCAAAUGAAGGAGUCUGGAUGAAGGAGUUCAUAUCUGAUCUAGGUGUCAUACCUAGUGCAUCGGGUCCAAUGAAAAUCUUUUGUGACAAUACUGGUGCAAUUGCCUUGGCAAAGGAAUCCAGAUUUCACAAGAGAACCAAGCACAUCAAGAGACGCUUCAAUUCCAUCCGGGAUCUAGUCCAGGUGGGAGACAUAGAGAUUUGCAAGAUACAUACGGAUCUGAAUGUAGCAGACCCGUUGACUAAGCCUCUUCCACGAGCAAAACAUGAUCAGCACCAAGGCUCCAUGGGUGUUAGAAUCAUUACUGUGUAAUCUAGAUUAUUGACUCUAGUGCAAGUGGGAGACUGAAGGAAAUAUGCCCUAGAGGCAAUAAUAAAGUUAUUAUUCAUUUCCUUAUAUCAUGAUAAAUGUUUAUUAUUCAUGCUAGAAUUGUAUUAACCGAAAACAUAAUACAUGUGUGAAUACAUGGACAAACAGAGUGUCACUAGUAUGCCUCUACUUGACUAGCUCGUUAAUCAAAGAUGGUUAUGUUUCCUAACCAUGGACAAAGAGUUGUUAUUUGAUUAACGGGAUCACAUCAUUAGGUGAAUGAUCUGAUUGACAUGACCCAUUCCAUUAGCUUAGCACCCAAUCGUUUAGUAUGUUGCUAUUGCUUUCUUCAUAACUUAUACAUGUUCCUAUGACUAUGAGAUUAUGCAACUCCCGUUUGCCGGAGGAACACUUUGUGUGCUACCAAACGUCACAACGUAACUGGGUGAUUAUAAAGGUGCUCUACAGGUGUCUCCAAAGGUACAUGUUGGGUUCGCGUAUUUCGAGAUUAGGAUUUGUCACUCCGAUUGUCGUAGAGGUAUCUCUGGGCCCUCUCGGUAAUGCACAUCACAUAAGCCUUGCAAGCAUUGCAACUAAUGAGUUAGUUAUGAGAUGAUGUAUUACGGAACGAGUAAAGAGACUUGUCGGUAACGAGAUUGAACUAGGUAUUGAGAUACCGACGAUCGAAUCUCGGGCAAGUAACAUACCGAUGACAAAGGAACAACGUAUGUUGUUAUGCGGUCUGACCGAUAAAGAUCUUCGUAGAAUAUGUAGGAACCAAUAUGAGCAUCCAGGUUCCGCUAUUGGUUAUUGACCGGAGACGUGUCUCGGUCAUGUCUACAUUGUUCUCGAACCGUAGGGUCCGCACGCUUAACGCUACGAUGACAGUUUCAUUAUGAGUUUAUGUAUUUUGAUGUACCGAAGGUUGUUCGGAGUCCCGGAUGUGAUCAUGGACAUGACGAGGAGUCUCGAAAUGGUCGAGACAUAAAGAUCGAUAUAUUGGAAGCCUAUAUUUGGAUAUCGGAAUCAUUCCGGGUGAAAUCGGGAUUUUACCGGAGUACUGGGGGGUUACCGGAACCCCCCCCGGGGGUUAUUGGGCCUACAUGGGCCCUAAGGGAGAAUAGGAAAGGAGGCAAGAGGUGGCCGCGCGCCCCUCCCCUCCCUAGUUCGAAUAGGACAAGGAGAGGGGGCGGCGCCCCCCCUUUCCUUUCCCUCUUCCUCCUCUUUCCCACUUCUCCUUCUCCAACUAGGAAAGAAGGGAGUCCUACUCCCGGUGGGAGUAGGACUCCCCCUUGGCGCGCCCUCCUUGGCCGGUCGCCCCCUCCCCUUGGCUCCUUUAUAUACGGGGGCAAGGGGGCACCCUAGAACACACAAGUUGAUCUUCGUGAUCGUUCCUUAGCCGUGUGCGGUGCCCCCCUCCACCAUAUUCCACCUCGGUCAUAUUGUAGCGGUGCUUAGGCGAAGCCCUGCGACGGUUGAACAUCAAGAUCGUCACCACGCCGUCGUGCUGACGGAACUCCUCCCCGAAGCUUUGCUGGAUCGGAGCCCGGGGAGCGUCAUCGAGUUGAACGUGUGCCAAGAACUCGGAGGUGCUGGAGUAACGGUGCUUGGAUCGGUUGGACCGGGAAGACGUACGACUACUUCCUCUAUGUUGCGUCAACGCUUCCGCUUCGGUCUACGAGGGUACGUAGAUAUCACUCUCCCCUCUCGUUGCUAUGCAUCACCAUGAUCUUGCGUGUACGUAGGAAAUUUUUUGAAAUUACUACAUUCCCCAACACCUACAAUGUUAAUAAAACUUUCUCAUUGUGGUGAACAAAACCAGAUGAUAAAUUUUUGGUCCAGCUUAUAUAUACCCCACAUAUCCCACUAGUUCAUCUCAAAGCAAAUUCCACUCCUACCAUUUGUUCUAAG
rnacentral:lncRNA from 1 species